GAUGAACGCUGGCGGCGUGCCUAAUACAUGCAAGUCGAGCGAACAGACGAGGAGCUUGCUGCUCUGACGUUAGCGGCGGACGGGUGAGUAACACGUGGAUAACCUACCUAUAAGACUGGGAUAACUUCGGGAAACCGGAGCUAAUACCGGAUAAUAUAUUGAACCGGAUGGUUCAAUAGUGAAAGACGGUUUUGCUGUCACUUAUAGAUGGAUCCGCGCCGCGUUAGCUGGUUGGUAAGGUAACGGCUUACCAAGGCGACGAUGCGUAGCCGACCUGAGAGGGUGAGCGGCCACACUGGAACUGAGACACGGUCCAGACUCCUACGGGAGGCAGCAGUAGGGAAUCUGCCGCAAUGGGCGAGAGCCUGACGGUGCAGCACCGCGUGAGUGAUGAAGGUCUUCGGAUCGUAAAACUCUGUUAUUAGGGAAGAACAAAUGUGUAAGUAACUAUGCACUUCUUGACGUUACCUUAUCAGAAAGCCACGGCUAACUACGUG
rnacentral:rRNA from 1 species